rnacentral:misc_RNA from 1 species
CGUAAAUUGGAUAAGAUGAGUGGGCUAAGAUCCCAGAGCAGUGAUCUUUGUGGGCAUGAGUCAAGAAAUGGUGCCUCUUUCUCUUAGAAAUUGGACUCCAUGUAUCUACUGAAAAUGGUAACCCUCUAGGCAUUUCUAUCGGCAUUUUUCCUAAUUGGCCUGCGUCUUUUGAUUGGGAAGGCGUAAGAAAACGCGAGAAAUCGAAGACUUCUUCUUCUUCUUCACUCUCAAAGCUUCCAACAAAGAAAGAAGGGGAAAUUUUUUUGUGGGACUGGUGGGAAAGAUUUUCAUAUAUAAAUGAUG